UGAGGCGUGGCUUCCGGAGCUAACGCGUUAAGUCGACCGCCUGGGGAGUACGGCCGCAAGGUUAAAACUCAAAUGAAUUGACGGGGGCCCGCACAAGCGGUGGAGCAUGUGGUUUAAUUCGAUGCAACGCGAAGAACCUUACCUACUCUUGACAUCCAGAGAACUUUGCAGAGAUGCUUUGGUGCCUUCGGGAACUCUGAGACAGGUGCUGCAUGGCUGUCGUCAGCUCGUGUUGUGAAAUGUUGGGUUAAGUCCCGCAACGAGCGCAACCCUUAUCCUUUGUUGCCAGCGGUUAGGCCGGGAACUCAAAGGAGACUGCCAGUGAUAAACUGGAGGAAGGUGGGGAUGACGUCAAGUCAUCAUGGCCCUUACGAGUAGGGCUACACACGUGCUACAAUGGCGCAUACAAAGAGAAGCGACCUCGCGAGAGCAAGCGGACCUCAUAAAGUGCGUCGUAGUCCGGAUUGGAGUCUGCAACUCGACUCCAUGAAGUCGGAAUCGCUAGUAAUCGUGGAUCAGAAUGCCACGGUGAAUACGUUCCCGGGCCUUGUACACACCGCCCGUCACACCAUGGGAGUGGGUUGCAAAAGAAGUAGGUAGCUUAACCUUCGGGAGGGCGCUUACCACUUUGUGAUUCAUGACUGGGGUGAAGUCGUACAA
rnacentral:rRNA from 1 species